rnacentral:rRNA from 1 species
UACAGAGGGGGCAAGCGUUAUUCGGAAUUAUUGGGCGUAAAGCGUGCGCAGGCGGUUUUGUAAGCCAGAUGUGAAAGCCCCGGGCUUAACCUGGGAAUGGCAUUUGGGACUGCAAGGCUUGAGUGCGGCAGAGGAGACUGGAAUUCCUGGUGUAGCAGUGAAAUGCGUAGAUAUCAGGAGGAACACCAGUGGCGAAGGCGGCUACCUGGCCUAAUACUGACACUGAAGCACGAAAGCGUGGGGAGCAAACAGG